UUUUAUGUAUCAUUUGUUUGCGGGAGUUUUAUGACUGGUAAACCAGCGGGUGCGAUAGUAAUUAAAUAAAAAUAACCAAAAUAAA
rnacentral:sRNA from 1 species